UCUACUGUCAUACCUGUCUGGCCUGGCUGCCUGCUACCACACUUCUCACAAUGAUGGCCAUGAACACACCCUCUGAACUGUAUGCAAAACUCCAGGUAACAUUCUCUGCUAUAGAUGGAAAUCAUGCCAAGAUUCAGCCAUUGCAAGCAGUAAGCCAUAGACAGUACUUCCCACGAACUACACAUGGAGAUUGCUGGUGCAGUUUGAUCUGAAAAAUAAUAAAACUGUUAUUUCUGAUCCAUGACAUAGAAGAACAUUGCCUUGGGGUGGCUUCAUCUGAGAGCUUCUACACCAUGCAGCAUGGAAUCAAGGUGAAAAUAUGACCUAAACAGUUAUUGUUAAAAAAAUUAAAAAUGGAUCAAUGAUGCAUUUCUCAUUUAAAACUGCUAUUCUUGCAGAAGCUAAGCCUCCAAUUCUUAAAGGCAUUCCUUGAAGUGACAAAUCAACUUGUUGCCUCUGCAUGUAAGAUGAUGCAAUAGUGUAUCAUCUUUGGAGUAAACUGAGAAGAUAGACAUUCAGAACUCUUCCUUCUUCUUAGGGCUCAGACAGUUCACUAAGAAAUAUUGCAUAAUCUUAUAAAUGAAAUGCUAAUCCAUAAUUUCACUAAUGUAUGUCAGGCCUCUUUUAAUUGCAAAUAAUAC